UGGUAGUUGGGUGGUCUUACUCCAGGUGCAGGGAUUUCCUUUGAUUUAAGGAAAUGUAUGGGUGAAUAACCUAGUAUUUCAAAAUAUCACUUAGGAAAUUUCAUGAAGCUGACUUUCAAUGAUAGCUUGUUGUUCACUAAUACAACCACAACUAUGUUAAAUAAUUCUGUUUUUAAAAUAUUUUAUUGAGAUAUAAUUCACAUACUUUUUAAAUUAUACAAUUCAAUGAUUUUUUUGGUAUAAUGACAGAGUUAUGCAACUAUCACGACAAUUUUAGAACAUUUUCAUCAUCUCAAAAAAAAUUGUGUACUCAUUAGUAGUCACUCUACAUUUCACCCCAGCCCUUGACAUGUGCUAAUUUGCUUAUCUCUAUAGAUUUUUCUGUUUUAGACGUCUCAUAUAAGUGGAACCACAUAAUAAAUAGUCUUGUGUGUCUGGUUUCUUGUACUUAACAUUAUGUUUUCUUAAAGUCUGUCUGCAUUGUAGCAUGUAUCAGCCCUUAAUUCAUUUUUUAUGGCUAAAUAAUGUUCCAUUAUACAGUGUAUUGGUUUUCUUGGGCUACUAUAACAGAGUACUACACAAUGGGUGGCUUAAAACAACAGAAAUUUAACAAUUCUAUCCUUUGAAACAUUUUUAUACUUUGUACAGCAUGCCUCCCUAACUUAAGUUCUCUGACUAGACAGAACACGAUCCCUUGUCAGUUAUAACAAUCUACUGUUUAUAUGGUUUAUUUAAGGAUAAUCAGACCCAUAUGAAUUUAUCUGAGAUCCCCCAGUUGAUACAUGUAAUGAUGUAGCUUUGUUAACUCAACAAAAUUGAUUUCAGAUUCCAGGAUGUAAAGAGUGUUGACAGUCCACUGGGAACCAGGUGACACAAAAUAUAAUGACAGAAUCAGCAACAGUAGUGAUCAGGGGCUAUUCCAAGACUACAAGACUGUAAUUAUUCCAUUGUCACUGAAAAUUGUGUUUUAUAUCACACUUGAUACAACUGUCAAUAAUGAGUGAGUAAUAGCAUCCUACAUACAUAUUUAUGGAGCCAUUUUCCUAAGAAUUUCAACUAAGGGAAGCAUUAUUUUCAUCACCUGUCAAAACAAAAUAGAACAAUUACAAUAAGACAUUAAAAUUUUUUUAUAGUGAUAGGCCUAAAACAUAUUCAAGAUUCUUGGUUUUAUUCAUCUCACAAAUAUUUAGUGAGUACUUGUUGUGUACUGCACACUGUGUUAGGCUUUGUUAGGGAACAAUACUCUCCUCCAAGAACUAACAACUUAGAACCGAUAAAAGCAUUCAACUUGAAUAUAUCUCAAAAUUCUCCUGCUACCUUGCCAGUCUUGGGUUUAUCAUGCUGGCUGUUUAGCUUAGUUCCGCCUUGCGUAAUCAGGCCACAUCUGUGCAGAUGCAGUAAUUAAUUCAUAUCUGUGGCCUGCCACAAGGAGACAUAAAUAUUAAUAGAGCCUUUUAUCCAUAAUUUUAGAGGGUAGCACUUUGGGAUUUUUGAGCCUAGGAAAGCCAUACCAGAAAAAGAGAGCACAAGGUCAGGGGUACAACUGGCUGGACUAGAAAAUCCAUCAGGUCAGAAUAAAAGAAUUAAGAAACUUAUGUGUGUUUUAGAAUCAAUCUUCUAAAUGCCCUUCAGAAAAUCCUUCUCAGGACACUACUUUAUUUAAGCACUGUAUUGAUUUCCCCCUUAUCUUUGGUUUAAUUCCAAAUUAUUUUAUGCAACUCCAAAGACCCUGCUUAUUUCAUGGGGAGGGCCUAACUUUACCCCUGAGCUAGUUUUUUUUGCUGUUCACCCUCCCUGAAACAGUCUUCUCUGUUUCCUCAGUUGGAUAACUUAUCCUAUCUUUUAGGUAUAAAUGUCAUCAACUUCCUCUAAUAAAUAUUCCAUGACACCCUCUCCACCAGGGAGUAGAUUAGACAGCUUUUUAUUCUUUUGCAAAAGAAUCCUGUAUUUUCCCUACUCUAAAAUCAUGCUGUAGUAUGACUGUCUGCUUAUUUUUCUGUAAUAAAGGGGUUCAUAUACUUUAUUGGCCAAACAAGUCUAUUUUGAGAUUAAAAAGAGUAUUAAAAUAACUAUAAUCUUAUACAAGUUUAAAAUAAGUAUUUACUAACAAGUGGGGUUUGGGCCUAUGGAAGUGUUAUAAAAUAUUUUUGAAAUAAAAUGUUUCUUUAAGAAAGCAAUAUCUAUUUCUAUUCAUAAAAGCAAAAGAAUAUUUGUAUUGAUUAUCAGCACAUUAAAUAACAAGUAGUAUGAUUAUUUAUGUUAUAUAUUCAUUUAAUUUAAACACCAUCUUAGUUGUACAAGUAAUAUUGGUCAUUAUUAUUCUAUUUGUGGACAAUGUAUUUUUGAAAUACAGUUUUAUUGUUUUCCAUUUUUUCAUAAAAUUGCCUGCAUUUGUUUUCAAAGCUGUGCUUUAUGCUAAUAAAUUUGAAAUUGUUGAAACCUUCAAUUGACUGGUCUCCAUAGAAUACAUUACUUUUAACUGAGAAAAUACCCUCUCUACAUGCACUGAAGUACCUAGUAAUCGCAAAUUAUUUUUUGCUAAAUACAGCAUAUUCUCAGAUAAUGGAAAUAUAUUGUAUAUUUCAAAAAAAGCUAGAGGAAAAUAAUUUGCAUGUCCUCACCACAAAAAACUGAUAAAUAUUUGAGGUGAUGAAAUUCUAAUGACUCUGAUUUGAUGAUUACACAAUCUCUCCAUGUAUUGAAACGAACAAUGUUCCCCAUACAUAUGUAUAAUCAUUAUGUAUCACAGCUUUUUCUUUUAAUAUUAAAAUGUAUACAUAUUUUAGUCCCACUGUUGUUGUUGUUUUUUUUUUUUUUUUUUUUUUUUUUUUUUUUGAGGCAGUGUCUCGCUCUGUCACCCAGGCUGGAGUGCAGUGGUGCGAUCUCAGCUCACUGAAAGUGUCGCCUCCUGGGUUCACGCCAUUCUCCUGUCUCAGCCUCCCGAGUAGCUGGGACUACAGGCGCCGCCAAUGCGCCCGGCUAAUUUUUUGUAUUUUUUUUUUUUUGAGUUGAGACAGGGUUUAACCGUGGUCUCGAUCUCCUGGCCUCGUGAUCCGCCCGCCUCGGCCUCCCAAAGUGCUGGGAUUACAGGCAUGAGCCACCGCGCCUGGCCUAUUUUUUUUUUUAAAUGUAUUUUAUUGUAUAUAUUUGAGGUUUACAACAUAAUGUUAUGGAGUACAUAUAGAUACAUCGUAGGAAAUAUAAUGGUUCUAGAGUGAAGCAGAUUAGUAUAUCUAUCAUCUCACAUAACUUGUUUUUUGAUGUGACAACAGCAGAUAAAAUCUACUUAACAAAUAUCCUUAACACAAUUCAAUUUUAUUUAGUCUUCAUGUUGUACAUUAGAUCUUUAGAUUUGUUCAUCCUACCUAUCUGCUAUUGUACAUCUUUUGACCUACAUCUUCCUCAUUUCCUCUCUCCCUCUCCCACCAAUGGUAACCACUGUUUCCUUCUUUAUCUCUGUGUAUUUGAGCUCUUUUAUUAUUUUAUAUUUAAUAUAUAAUUGAAAUCAUGCAAUAUUUUUUUCUCUGUGUUGCUUAUUUCACUUAGCAUAGGGUCCUCCUGGUUCAUGCAUGUUUUGACAAAUGGUAGGAUCUCCUUUUUAAGGCUGUGUAAUAUUUCAUUGUGUAUAUAUACCACAUUUUCUUUAUACCUCCAUCAAUGGGCAUUUAGGUUCUUUCCAUAUCUUGACUGCUGCAAAUAAUGCUGCAAUGAACAUGGGAAUGCCAAUCUUUACAAGGUGGUGAUAAUCUCCUUUUGGUAUAUUGGUAUAUAUUCAGAAGAAGGAUUUCUGAGUCAUAUGGCAGUUAUAUUUUUAGUAUCUCUAAGACCCUACAUAUUUCUUCCCAUAAUGGCUAGAUCAGUCUAUAUUCCCAUCAACAGUGCACUGCGGUUACCUUUUCUUCACACCUUUGCCAACAUUUUCAUCUUAUCCAUUUGAUAAUAGCCUUCCUUACUGGUGUAAGGUGAUAUCUCAUAGUGGUUUUAAUUUGCAUUUCCAUUAUGAUUAGUGAUGUUGAGCUCCUUUUCAUAUACCUAGUGUCCAUUUUUAUGUUUUCUUUGAAGGUCUGCUCAUAUCAUUUGUCCAUGUUUUAAUUGGGUUGUUUUUCUGCUAUUGAAUUAUGUGGGUUUUUAAAAUAAAUUUUGGAUAUUAGCCAUUAUCAGAUGUAUGAUUUGCAAAAAUUUUCUUCCAGUCUGUAGCCUGCAUUUUCAUUUUUAAAUUGUUUUCUUUGCUGUGUAGAAGGUUUUUAGUGUGAUGUAUUCCCAUUGGUUUAUUUUUUCUUUUUUUUAUUAUACUUUAAGUUCUAGGGUACAUGUG
rnacentral:lncRNA from 10 species